rnacentral:rRNA from 1 species
UAGUCCUGAAACAAGACAUUCGAAGGUGGAUUUAGCAGUAAGAGGGGAGCAGAGAGCCCCCCUGAAGCCGGCUCUGAAGUGUGUACACACCGCCCGUCACUCUCCCCCAGCACCCUCGCCAUAAACUUACAUAAAACAUAAGAGCAGCAUAGGGGAGGCAAGUCGUAACAUGGUAAGCGUACCAGAAGGUGCGCUUGGAAAACACU